AUGGACUGGGUUUGCUGAGUGGCCCGACUAGAUCAACUGCCACCCAGAAAAAUGGUUCCUCAAUGAUGGGUAGGGGACGUAGUUUUGCCCUGGGGUGAUCCCCUCUCUUUCCUACCUUUUGGCAUACCUCGCAGGUCCGACAGUAAUCCUGCAAAUCUCUAGUGACCCCUGGCCAGAAAAAUGACUGGGUGAGUCUGUCUCUAGUCUUUUUUAUGCCUAAGUGACC